CGUAGGGUGCAAGCGUUAAUCGGAAUUACUGGGCGUAAAGCGUGCGCAGGCGGCUAUGCAAGACAGAUGUGAAAUCCCCGGGCUCAACCUGGGAACUGCAUUUGUGACUGCAUGGCUAGAGUACGGUAGAGGGGGAUGGAAUUCCGCGUGUAGCAGUGAAAUGCGUAGAUAUGCGGAGGAACACCGAUGGCGAAGGCAAUCCCCUGGACCUGUACUGACGCUCAUGCACGAAAGCGUGGGGAGCAAACAGGAUUAGAUACCCUGGUAGUCCACGCCCUAAACGAUGUCAACUGGUUGUUGGACGGCUUGCUGUUCAGUAACGAAGCUAACGCGUGAAGUUGACCGCCUGGGGAGUACGGCCGCAAGGUUG
rnacentral:rRNA from 1 species